UGCUUGAUAGUUAAAUUUAUAACGGUAGAUUGCAAAUCUAAAAUUGUGUUGUGUACUCAAGUUU
rnacentral:tRNA from 1 species